UUCACCUGGUAUCAUCUUCAGGUUAUAAUGGGAGGUUCCUGUACAAUUCACCUGGUAACAUCUUCUAGUUAUAAUGGGAGGUUCCUGUACAAUUCACCUGGUAACAUCUUCAGGUUAUAAUGGGAGGUUCCUGUACAAUUCACCUGGUAACAUCUUCAGGUUAUAAUGGGAGGUUCCUGUACAAUUCACCUGGUAACAUCUUCAGGUUAUAAUGGGAGGUUCCUGUACAAUUCACCUGGUAACAUCUUCAGGUUAUAAUGGGAGGUUCCUGUACAAUUCACCUGGUAACAUCUUCAGGUUAUAAUGGGAGGUUCCUGUACUCAGUUUUAGGAAGCCAGAGUGCUUGACUUAGUGUCAACAGUGCUGUGCAUUCUCUACAUUUGACAUGACCUUUGCCCCGUUGGAUAAUGACUGAUGGCCAUUUUUAUCAAGAGCGGGGUUGUUGUUGUUUUUUUGGACACAAACAUUUUCUUUUCUUUGUCAAAUAACAAUGUCCAAGAUUAAGUUCCCAGAAAGACGUCAAUGUCAGUGUUUAAUAGAAUUACUUUUAUUCUGGAAGUAAAGAUCCUUCACCCUCACAGACGACCAAUCACAGCACUCUAUACUGCCAUUAGGCUCAAUCAGAUUCUCUGUUAUACUGUAGCGGUGCAGCCACUGGACCUUUCCUGUGCCUGCCAGGCUCCGGGCUGGGCAGCAGCCAUUUUGACUGAUUUCAAGUGCUUCAUUUUUUUAUUCCAGGUUGUCACUUAUAAGAAAGGUACAAAUCACAAAUGCAUCAUGGGCAUCUUGUCUGGGGUGUUUAGCAAAGAAGAGGGAGAGAAAAUAUAUUUAUAUUUUAAACAAAAUUGACCUUAAAAAUAAACUUAAAUUAACUUUUUUUUU